rnacentral:rRNA from 1 species
AAAGAAAAGAAAACCCCCAGCCACCCCGAAUCAGUCCCACUCCCGUGCGUGCUGGAUAGCUAGGGUUCCCCGCCACCCUCACCGGUCGCCGCCGCCCUCACCGGUCGCCGCCGCCGCCCUCACCGGUCGCCGCCGCCGUCGGUCUGCCCUACAUGGCCGGAGGAUAGGCCAUCCUGCCGGUCCAUUCCCGCCCCACCGCGAGGGAGGAGACCACCCCGGCGACCUCCCCCCGUCCCCACCGCCGCCGCCGCUCAUCCCGGUCCCGUCCUCCUCCCCCGCCUCGCCGCCUCGCCGCGGCGUCCGUCCACCGCCGGCCAGCGAAGUCCCGGGCUCCGAUUCGCGAAAAGGGGUGCUGAAGUUUGUUCCGGCGCCGUGGGAUGAGCGAGGAUGGCGCCUAGGGACAGCAAGGAGAUGCUGCAGCGGGCCGCCGAGUCCGCCAUCCGCUCCAUCGGCCUCGGCUACGACGUCGCCGCCUACGUCCGGCUCAAGUUCUGCAAGCAGCGCGGCUCGCCCGACCCCUCGCUCAUCGAGCUCGACCGCGAUGGGACCCAGGACAUCGUGCUCCCCGGCAGCCUCACCACCGUCGCCGGCGUGCCCAAGUCCAUCAAGUGCGACAAGGGGGAGCGGAUGCGGUUCCGGUCCGAUGUCCUGUCGUUCCAGCAGGUCAGGAGAGCAACAACGCACAUGCAGCACAGAUUUGUGCGUCUUCUCCAUGCAAUCUUGUUUACUUAAUCUUCAGCCUGGGCCAUCUCUGUCACCAACGCCUACAGCCUGGGUAUGAACCUCUCUUCUCUACUUCAUCUUUACUGAAUGUGCGUAUUCUCUGAACCACUUAUUCUUUGUCUACUGAAUUUUAGUGAAUGUGAGAUGUACUCCUGUAAACUGAGAUGUGCUUUUGUAAAGUGUGUUGUCAACUUGUGAAUUUUAGUGAAUGUGAGUGAAAGUUACUCCACAAUGUGAGUAAAAAUGUUGAGCUCCUCUCAUUCUUUUCCCCAAUUCAGUAUUGUUGUGUAGAAAUUGAUUCAAAAAUUCAGUACUCCUAGGCCAAGAGAGAGAUUAUGUUAAAAAUUCAGUUAAGCAGGCAUGGUAAAAUUGAGUUGGAAAAUCAAAAUAAGUGAAUGGAUACUGCUUGAGUUGGAAAAUCAGUGUAAAUCUACUGUAAAAAUUCAGUACUCCUACACUUAGAGAUUAUGUUAAAAAUUCAGUUAAGCAGGCAUGGUACUCUUAUUUUGGAGUAAAAAUUCAGUUUAAAAGUCAGUUAAAAGUCCAGUUUUAGAGCUUGGCUCCUGAUCUGACUAUAAAGUGUACUGCAAGCUUAUUGCUAGCAAGUUUAAAAUUCAGUAAACACAUGAUUCAAUGCACACUUAAUACACAUGACCUGCUUGUGCUUGUGACUGACUUGGACACAUGAUUCAGACACACAUGUAUUCAGACACACAUAGCAGGUCUGAAACUCCUAGGAAAUCAUUUGCAUAUUGUCAACCUACUGUGAAAUGAGUAAUAGCUGCAUCUUCCAGGAUAGUAUGUGGGCCUCCUAAUUAGUUGUAAACCAAAGCACUUAGACAUUUUCAAUCAUGAGUAAAUCAGAAACUAGUCUCAGCUUGAGUAUUGAUCUUGUGCAUUUUCCUUUCUUUUCAGUGAACUAGUCUCAGCUUGAGUCCUGGUCUACUGUAACUCUUCUUUAAAAUUGUUUAAUUGACAAAUCAUUUUAAAUGGUGUGCCCAGGUUUCAGUGAACUAGUCUCAGCUUGAAAUUUGGUUCAGUUAACUCCAUACAAGGGUCUCUUUUUGGUUAACAGUUUGGAGUAUAGAUUAACUGAAACCUGACAUUUUAACUGAAUUUUACCUUCUUCCUUAGGAACAUGAGCUCUGGCGGCAACACAAAGAAUUCAGUAAACACUAUUUUUGCAGAAUUGUUGUUGUCAGUUAACUGAAACUACAGCACAUUCCAAUCAAUUGGCUGCAGUAAAGAACUGAAGAGAUGGUAUGAUAACAACUGCUCUAUUUGUUCUAUCUAAUCUGUUCUUUUCUAUUUAAGAAAAAUAUAAGCAUGCAUUUACCAGUAGGCGAGAUCAUCUAGCUAAUUUGUAGUGUUAUUAUUGUCUAAAUAGGAACAUUUUACCUCAUUAAAAGUACAGCCAUCUCCAAAACUACAACACAUUUAGCUACUGAACAUUUACCUGGUGAGAUGUUUAGUCAUGCAUCCUAAUUUAGACGUUGUUGUGUGUUUAAGUAAUCUGUCAGAAGUGUUUAUUUCCACGCAUGCAUUAUCAAAUUGGUUGUGAGCCGUAAGGUGGAAUGCUUAGUAUUUUUUCUCAUACAGGAAACUUGCUCAGUUCAAUUAAUUCAGCUCCAAUGGCGGUAUCUGUAAGACAUGGAAGUGUGCAAUUUUUCUGUAUGUGCUCUCAUAUUUUUGCUCAUGCAUGCUUUUUUCAGUUAGUUUUUCCCACAUUUUGGAAAGAACCAUGCACAAAGGAAACAAACACUUCAUCUGAUGGUGUACCUUCUUAAGCUAGCAGUACUCUGAUGGAGUACCUUCUUCAGAGGGCAAAUAACACCAGCAGCAGCAGUCACGGCGGCAGUCAACAGCAACAACAGAGGAGCAGUAGCAUCAACACGAAUCAGCAACAGCAGCACAGGCAGAGGAGCAGUAGCAUCAACACGGGAAGAGGAGCAGGAGCAGCACGGGAGCUCCACCGGCGGCAGGGGAGAAAUAGAGGAGAAACAAGAUGCAGCAGCACGGGCUAGCACCACAGGCGGGCACGCAGGCAGAGAAGGAGCACCACGGCGGCGCGUGGGAGCUCGACGAGGACUCGCGGGAGACCAUGGAGGACGCGUGCGAGCUGCUGUCCACGACGGAUCGUGGAGGCCGGCUCCGGCAAUGCCCGUAGGAUCGCGGUGGCGCACGGGAGGCAGCUCAAGGUGGACUCGCGGGAGCACGAGGAGGACUCGCGGGAUCUCGAGUACGAUGAGAGGGAGCUCCUGCUCCACCAGAUCGUGGUGGCAAAUUCCAGUGACACCCGCAGGUAAUCGCCGCGGGAGGGGAUCGCGGCGGCGUAGGUCUGGGCGGCGGCGGCGGAGCAAGUACUUGGCGACGGCGGCGGAGCAAGUACUUGGCGACGGCGGCGACGUUGAAGGUAUGUGGUGACGGAGGCGGAACACUUCCUGGUGGGUGGCAAUCACGCAGCUUGGCGGCGCCGGCCCCUGGAGACGCACGGGCGACGGCGGAGGAAGACGACGGGGGUGGAGGGACUUGUUUGUGAUUGUUUUGAAACUACGAGGGCUUUUUUAUAAAAUUGGUAAUGAUCUACGCCUGCGACAUGUUUUUUUCGGGACGGAGGGAGUACUAAUUACAACACAUAUACUUAUUUUAAAGAAGAAAUUGUUCAACUAAGGUGUUUGCCACUUAAUAAUGCCGCAUCCUAUCUAUUCGGUGCCUAUAUGGAUGUACCUACACAAUAUCUUUAACAAUCCCAAUUACUGAAUAUUUUCAUUUCUUAUGAAAUAGCAUAUGUUGACCCGGAUAAUCAAGACUUAACCAUGCCUAAGUUACUCCAUUGAAGAUUGAACAAUAUCUUUAACCAUGAUCUAGUGUUGUUUAUUUUGCAGCAUAGGGAAGUUCUUUCUAUAGGACAGAAAUUUGUGGUGCAUAAUAAUCUUCUUCUUCUAGUCUUCUUCUUCUAACUUUCUUCUUUCCCAUUUUGUAGAUUUGCUUCAGAUCACGGAAGCUUGGGUUGAUGGAGUGCUUGUCUUUAGUUUUUGUUUUGACUUUGUGAAACUUGCUACCCAUGAUGAAACUGUGUAAUAUUGAUGAAACUAUGUAUAUGUAUGGAUGAAACUUGCUACUAUUGGUAACAUGUGUUGGAUAUGUGUUCAAUAUAUAUGUGUUCAUG